rnacentral:rRNA from 1 species
UACGAAGGGGGCUAGCGUUGCUCGGAAUUACUGGGCGUAAAGGGCGCGUAGGCGGCACUGUUAGUCAGGCGUGAAAGUCCUGGGCUCAACCUGGGAACUGCGCUUGAUACGGCAGAGCUAGAGGAUGGAAGAGGCUCGCGGAAUUCCCAGUGUAGAGGUGAAAUUCGUAGAUAUUCGCAAGAACACCAGUGGCGAAGGCGGCUCACUGGCCCGAUACUGACGCUGAGGCACGAAAGCGUGGGGAGCAAACAGGG